AUGUGUAUAUAUGGUAUUUAUACAGAGGGUACAUUUUUAAUAAAAUAUAGUUACAAUGAAGGAUUUGAAUUAAAAAAUAAACGUAAUAAUACAAAUAAAAUAAAACCACUUUAUGAUAAUAUAAAUUGUAGAUCAUUUUUUAGUAAACAAAAAACUUUGUUGUCGCCUGUAUUUAUAAAUGGUGAAAUUAUUCACGGUACAAACAGUGGUACAAGUAAUGGUCAUCGUGAUAGUACAAGUGUUGGAGCAAGCUGCAGUAACGGUGUUGUGGAUGGACUGGAAACUGACACGACGGAUAAAAUGAGCCCGAUGGAUAAAACGAGCCCGACGGAUAAAACGAACCCAACGGAUAAAACUAACCCGACGGAUAAAACGAACCCGACGGAUAAAACGAACCCGACGGACAAAACGAACCCGACGGACAAAACGAACGCGACAAAUUACAUAAACCAAACCACCCAAAGCAAUUACUACAGAUUAAAGGAAAUCAAAAUAACACAAAAAACGUCAAAAAAAUAUAAUUGCGAAGGUAAUACAAGUAACGAGAACAGUAGUAAUAUAUUCACUGUUAUGGACUCCCUGAAAAACGAAGAUAUGGAUGAAUUAGCUGAACAUGCUGAGCUUACUAUAAAAGAGCGGAAAAAAAUAAGAAAAAAAAAAGAAAAAAAAAAAGACAAACAAGGGAAUAAUAAAGCAUAUAUAUAUGAAGUAGAGGACCAUGUGGAUAGUAUUACAUCUUUAAAUAUAUACGAAGACAACUCAGUUUUAUAUAAUUAUUAUUUUAAUUUAAAUAUGCAUAAACAAUUAUUAAACACAAGUGGUGCUAUUGACAAUAAUGAUAAUACAUAUGAGCGAAAAGUGAGUUAUGGUAAUAAUCUUGUUAAUACAAAUAGUAGUAAAAAAGAUGAGAAAAAUAUUAUUACCCAUAAACUUAUGAGCAAUACGAUUUGUCAUGACAUUGACUCAUAUGUUUGUGUAGAUAUACCACCAUAUGAUGUUAAUUAUCAAAAAAAUGAUAAUAAUAAUUAUAUAGAUAAUACACAAAAAAACUUAUUUAAUAAAAAUAAUUCCUUAAAUUGUAAAGAAUUUGUGAAAAAUUGUUCAUCUGUCUUUAAUAAAAAUAACUCAGAAACGGGAAAUGAGUCAGAAAAAGAAAUAACAAAUAGUUGUACAAAUUUUUUUUUUUUUAUUUGUACUUUAGAUAGUUUGCCUAGUUUAAAAUAUGAAACUUUUUUUUUGAAAUAUAUAAAUAAUAAAAACAUUAUAGCAACUGCUAUUAGUACCAAUAAAAAUAGUGUAUUGAAUAAUCGUAACUUAUUAUUAAAAAAAAAAGAAUAUAUGUCCAUUUUGAAAAAAAAUAAUAAAAACAAUAGUAGUACAUUUUAUACAACAAAGAAGCCUGUACAUGUCGAAAAGUCAUUGACAGGAAAAGGUAAAGACGUGCCAGUACAAACGGAUGAUCAACACUCGGGAUUGGUACGACAACAUAAUACACAUAACAAGCAACGUAUAAAUGAUGAUAAAAAAAAAAUAGCAAAAGCACAAAAAAAUAUAAAAAAUAGAAACAACUAUGUUUAUCUAAAUGAUUUAUCUAGAAGUUAUUUUUACCUAAUCAAAAGAAUAAGCUUUUUUUUUGACGAAGGUUUUGGUAGUUUUCUUAAUAGUAAUAAUGAUAGUAGCUAUACUAGUGGUAAUACUAAUCAUAAUUAUAACAGCUAUUAUAAUUGUGAUAGUAGUAAUAGUAGUAGUAAUAGUAGUAAUAGUAAU
ensembl:lncRNA